GAUGAACGCUAGCGGCAGGCCUAACACAUGCAAGUCGAGGGGUAGAACACUUCGGUGUUUGAGACCGGCGCACGGGUGCGUAACGCGUAUGCAAUCUACCUUGUACAGAGGGAUAGCCCAGAGAAAUUUGGAUUAAUACCUCAUAGUGUUAUCGAAUGGCAUCGUUUGAUAACUAAAGUUCCAACGGUACAAGAUGAGCAUGCGUCCCAUUAGUUAGUUGGUAAGGUAACGGCUUACCAAGACAAUGAUGGGUAGGGGUCCUGAGAGGGAGAUCCCCCACACUGGUACUGAGACACGGACCAGACUCCUACGGGAGGCAGCAGUGAGGAAUAUUGGACAAUGGGCGCAAGCCUGAUCCAGCCAUGCCGCGUGCAGGAUGACUGCCCUAUGGGUUGUAAACUGCUUUUAUACAGGAAGAAACACUGCUACGAGUAGCAGCUUGACGGUACUGUAGGAAUAAGGAUCGGCUAACUCCGUGCCAGCAC
rnacentral:rRNA from 1 species